rnacentral:lncRNA from 10 species
UUGUUAGACACAUGCUUUUCAGAUAUUUUAUCUUUCUCUAUGGCUUACCUAUUUAUGAAUGAUGUGUUUUAAUAAACAAGUUUUACAUUUUAAUUAUGUUCAAUUUAUCUAUUUUUAAUAGUUAUUACUUUGUGUGCCCUCAGAAACCUUUGCCCAACCCUGAGUCACGCUGUUACUUUCCUUUGUUGUCUGUUUGCCACGCCUUGUUUUGGUCUCCCCAGCUUUUUCCCGUCUUCUGUUAAAUUAACAGAAUUUACUUUACUUCCUUUUUUUUUUCACUACUGGUUUUAAUGCCAGGUCUAACCAUAAGUUGGCUAAAGGUGGCCAGUAUCUCUAUUAAUCUUCUGAUUGUACAGAGACCCUGGGAAUCUUCCAUUCCAACUCUCUCCCCACCAAGCUAUCCAAUAAGCCACACUGCCCGGCCUCCUGGUGUCUCCUUGCUAUGAUCAUUUACAUUCUAAACAAGGUGGGUGGUAUUAAUUCAGACACCACACCCAUACAUGGCCAGAUCUGGGCUCCUGCAGGUUACAGGGGGAUGCUUUUCCCUUGGAGAGACUCACAUGGGGGUGGGGUCCCCUGAUACUUCCCAUCAGCACCUGGCUCUAUG